GCAAGUCGAACGGAAACAGCAGGAGCUUGCUCCUGGCUGUCGAGUGGCGGACGGGUGAGUAACGCGUGGGAAUCUACCCAGUAGUGGGGGAAGCCCAGGAGAAAUCCUGAUUAAUACCGCAUACGAUCUACGGAUGAAAGGUGGCCUCUCCCUGGAAGCUAUCGCUAUUGGAUGAGCCCGCGUUAGAUUAGCUAGUUGGUGGGGUAAGAGCCUACCAAGGCGACGAUCUAUAGCUGGUCUGAGAGGACGACCAGCCACAUCGGGACUGAGACACGGCCCGGACUCCUACGGGAGGCAGCAGUGGGGAAUAUUGGACAAUGGGCGCAAGCCUGAUCCAGCAAUGCCGCGUGUGUGAAGAAGGCCCGAGGGUUGUAAAGCACUUUCAAUUGUGAAGAAGUGGAUAAAAUUAAUACUUUUGUUCAUUGACGUUAACUUUAGAAGAAGCACCGGCUAACUCUGUGCCAGCAGCCGCGGUAAUACAGAUGGGUGCGAGCGUAAUCGGAAUUACUGGGCGUAAAGCGCGCGUAGGCGGCUACUUAAGUCAG
rnacentral:rRNA from 1 species